UUUGGGUGCGUGUCUCCCUUCUCGGGAAACGCUCUCGACCACGUGAACCCCUUGACCUCAAAUCGGGUGAGACUACCCGCUGAACUUAAGCAUAUC
rnacentral:rRNA from 1 species